rnacentral:lncRNA from 1 species
AAAAGUUAUUACAUUUUCAUUUAGGCCAAUUUGCAUAAAAAAUCCACUUAUUUUGGGGUUUUGCAAAAUCGGGCCACCUUUUUCCUUUUUGCAGAUUCGGUCCGCUUUUUCUGCCGCCUGACCAAAAUGCCCCUCCUAUACAAUAGCCUCCCGCGUAUUUCUUGACAUACGUAUACUGCCCUGCCGUACGGUCUGGCGCGCAUUNUAUUUUCUCAUUUAUCGUGAGUUAUUGUAUUAAAGAAUUAAAGCCAAACAGGAAACAGCGGGGUCGGCGAAUAGCGGGGGUGGAAGUGGUCCGGGUUCCGAGAAAUGACUGAGAUUGAACGGGUCAUUUAAUGCGCGCCAGACCGUACGGCAGGGCAGUAUACGUAUGUCAAGAAAUACGCGGGAGGCUAUUGUAUAGGAGGGGCAUUUUGGUCAGGCGGCGGAAAAAGCGGACCGAAUCUGCAAAAAGGAAAAAGGUGGCCCGAUUUUGCAAAACCCCAAAAUAAGUGGAUUUUUUAUGCAAAUUGGCCU